rnacentral:rRNA from 1 species
UGGGGAAUAUUGCACAAUGGGCGCAAGCCUGAUGCAGCAACGCCGCGUGAGGGAUGACGGCCUUCGGGUUGUAAACCUCUUUUAGUAGGGAAGAAGCGAAAGUGACGGUACCUGCAGAAAAAGCACCGGCUAACUACGUGCCAGCAGCCGCGGUAAUACGUAGGGUGCGAGCGUUGUCCUGAAUUAUUGGGCGUAAAGAGCUCGUAGGCGGUCUGUCGCGUCUGCUGUGAAAACCCGAGGCUCAACCUCGGGCCUGCAGUGGGUACGGGCAGACUAGAGUGCGGUAGGGGAGAAUGGAAUUCCUGGUGUAGCGGUGGAAUGCGCAGAUAUCAGGAGGAACACCGAUGGCGAAGGCAGUUCUCUGGGCCGUAACUGACGCUGAGGAGCGAAAGCGUGGGGAGCGAACAGGAUUAGAUACCCUGGUAGUCCACGCCGUAAACGUUGGGCGCUAGAUGUGGGGACCAUUCCACGGUUUCCGUGUCGCAGCUAACGCAUUAAGCGCCCCGCCUGGGGAGUACGGCCGCAAGGCU